GAUGAACGCUGGCGGCGUGCCUAAUACAUGCAAGUCGAGCGAACGGACGAGAAGCUUGCUUCUCUGAUGUUAGCGGCGGACGGGUGAGUAACACGUGGAUAACCUACCUAUAAGACUGGGAUAACUUCGGGAAACCGGAGCUAAUACCGGAUAAUAUUUUGAACCGCAUGGUUCAAUAGUGAAAGACGGUCUUGCUGUCACUUAUAGAUGGAUCCGCGCUGCAUUAGCUUGUUGGUAAGGUAACGGCUUACCAAGGCAACGAUGCAUAGCCGACCUGAGAGGGUGAUCGGCCACACUGGAACUGAGACACGGUCCAGACUCCUACGGGAGGCAGCAGUAGGGAAUCUUCCGCAAUGGGCGAAAGCCUGACGGAGCAACGCCGCGUGAGUGAUGAAGGUCUUCGGAUCGUAAAACUCUGUUAUUAGGGAAGAACAUAUGUGUAAGUAACUGUGCACAUCUUGACGGUACCUAAUCAGAAAGCCACGGCUAACUACGUG
rnacentral:rRNA from 1 species